AUAACACCUGGCUCACCACCUCUCCUCUCCAGCCAAUAAGACUUGGCUCACCUCUCCUCUCCAGCCAAUAACACCUGGCUCACCACCUCUCCAGCCAAUAACACCUGGCUCACCACCUCUCCUCUCCAGCCAAUAACACCUGGCUCACCACCUCUCCAGCCAAUAACACCUGGCUCACCACCUCUCCAGCUAAUAACACCUGGCUCACCUCUCCUCUCCAGCCAAUAACACCUGGCUCACCACCUCUCCUCUCCAGCCAAUAACACCUGGCUCACCACCUCUCCUCUCCAGCCAAUAACACCUGGCUCACCACCUCUCCAGCCAAUAACACCUGGCUCACCUCUCCUCUCCUGGGGAGGUUUUGCCAACUGUAAAGGCAGCAUAAGCCUACACUGAAGAAAGGUCUCUCUAAGAGGGCUCAAGGACAGCAUCACAUGCCAGGCAUUUCUUGAAACUGGAGAACUUUAAUGAGCGUGCCAAAGUAAAAGGCAUCAGCCUUGGCCUUGAUGACUUCAAUAAGCUCAUCAUCCCUCCACACUCUCUCCACAGUGAAAUCAGUUUUUGUAUCUGUGACAAAAUCACACCAGGCAAGGCCAGUAAUUCCAAGCUGGCCCUGGACUUGCCAGUAAUGCUGGUGGCUUUUCCGAAGCUUUGUCUGACCCCCAGACAGUGCAAUGUGCUUUGCCUCAAUAUCCGGGCACUUGACUUCCACCAGGCCAUAGGGAGGAUCCUCAGUUGGGUCCACUACUUUGCCAUCAGGCCUGGCUCCAAGAUGAGGAGCAACAGGGUGGAUGAUCAGACCACAUCGAUAGACAUUCACAUUAAAGGUAUCAGCAUACCGGCGAAGAACUUCUGGCUCCAGUUGUUGUCCCCUCUUCAUUGCCUUGGUCUGAUGGAUACCCUUGAUUAUCCUUACUGCGAGUGACUUUGAUGUGGACUCGGACCUCACGUGAGCAGCUUCAUAAAACUUGCUGGCAGUAAGACGAAGGCGCCGCAUGCUUACCCAGAGAGGGCAUUUGGAUUGAUCCUGGGUUCCUUCCUCGAUGAUGACAGAAAGCUCGGGUGACACCUCCAGACUUUGCAUGUGCAGGAGCUCUGCUAAGCUUCCAGGCACAAAGUGAAAUUGCGGGAGUGUGUGGUGUGGAACAGGCAAUGGUGGAAAUCUCUGGGCAUCUGGCUGUUUAAUUACAUCUUUGGGCAACACAGGGGGGCACUGGUAGGACAGUAUUGAGCCUUUGGGGACAUCUCCAAAUUUUGAUGGCACAAGACUCAUUUCAGAUAUGCCAUCAACAAUUUUCGCUAUAAGAGGCUGAGGUCUAAGGCAACUCAACGAUGCUGCACCAGCAAGAACAUAUUGAUCCGGUAACAGUCCUAAAUAAAAAAAAAUGUAAAAACAUGUUUUUUUCUGUAAAUGUGCAUUAAUUAGUGAUAUAUAAAUAUUUUUGGAUAAAAAUUACCUCCAUAUGCUCUGUACAGUGUGGAUUGCACACCGUUCCCACCAGAUGCUUUAGGCUUGCGCACCUUAAGCUCAUCUACUGGCUCAGGAUUGAUGCCCUGACAAACCAAAUUUUUGGAAAGAUUUGUAAUUUUAUCUCUGAGAUGGCAUACAAAAUUACUGUAUGAGCUCCAAGUUAGCUAUCUAGUGUCAUUCAUUCUAAAGAACUUGUUAUGAAGCCAUUUGUUUUCUAUUUUUACCUGGGUACGGGGCCGGUGCCAAGUCUGAGGCUUGCUUCUGCAUGCAAGGGCAGCUGGAACAUUUUUGAUUCCCAGUGUGCAGAAAUGGGCAGUCUGAUACAGUAAGGUAACCAAAUUGUUGCACAGGCACCUCCCAGCAGCACAAGAGCAUGCAUAGGCUGUCAUCUCUGUCGGUAGCUUGGUAGUUUCGAGUGUGAUCUGAGGGCACUGAUAUCAAAAUUAGCUUAGCUCACCACAUUAAAAUAAAGAAUGCUAUGGUUAUGACAGUUUUCCAUAGGCCAGUAGUGUCAGGCAUAUGGCAUACAUUCCUGUAUGGAAUUCUGUUCCCGUUCCUGUCGGGGGCAUGUGAAAAUGGCGGCGCGACCGAUGCUUGUGCCGGCCUGUCCUAGUACUAAUACAGUGCCUUUACUUUUCUUAUUUAUUAUAACUCAAUUGCUGCUGACUGUUUUUUUACACUGAGUGUGCCUUCUAGUUUAUAUUUUUUUAUCUACAUUAUUAUUCUAGGCAUAUUGUCUAUUUUUGCACUGUUUUGGACUGGAAGGAACAACAUUUCAUUUUUAUGUAUGCAAGUACACAAAAAUGACAAAUAAAGGAAUCUUGAAUUUAUGCUGGUAGUCAGUAGUUUGUGUGACAUUUAUCUUCUAUAAACCUCAAGCUGAUGUGGCUCCUCACGUUUCCUCAAGGAUCUGUAACACCUUGCCCUCACUAUCACCUUCCCUGCAAUGAUGUUGGAGACUAUAGACACAUUUGUCCCCAAACACACACACACAUACAUACACGCACACAUGCAUACACGCACACACAUAAACACACGAACAACACCAUUACACAGGCGAUUUGACAAGCGAUAUAAAUCCUUAUUAAGUACAGCGCAAACGUCACAAAAUUAACGUUAAUACAAAACUUAGUUCGGAGAUGUUUGACUUCGUAUAGCAUAAGUAAUUUUGUGGAGCCUAACACAUUGUACUUACAUAGCUUUGCCUCCCCUGCUGACCGUUACUGUUAACAGAAUCGCUUUUCCUCACGGUUGUCAGGCUCCCUAUUCAUUCAUUUUCGGGACCUCAGCGAACUUACAACCGAGAGGAACAGAUGCUGUUAACGAACAGCAGAUGUUGUUCACGGUACGAAAACAAAAUGGAGUCGCCUCGAGAAAAUAACUUAUGUUAUAUCAAAGUGAAAUAUCUCUUUGAUCGGCUAACUUGCUGUGGGUUAGCAAGGUAGCUAUUUAGCUUUCUGGCGAACCAGAGCUAACGGUUAUACUUACCUUCAUAACUGAAUAUAAACUUCUCAAAAAAUAAUUUGUAGCCCUUGUCCAUUUUAGACCUCUUUAUGUUCACUGGCAAUGUGUCCACAAUGUGGCUAACAUCCGACAUAGUGAACUUAGGCAGAGCGAUUAUGGACUGUGAGAACACACGUCGCUGUUUAGGCUCCAUUUUUCGCUGUCAGAAAUAGACUUGGCGUCCGUAGCAACGGUAACCGGAAACAAAGUAUCCCUACAUCCGGUUUUGGUCGCCAUCUUGUGAAAUAGGCCUAUGGCGGGCGCGGCCAUGUUCUCGAUUUGGAGCCAAAACCAUAGAGUUAAGCGGUCAAGCGAUUUUUACAAUAUGAUUGACAGUCCGGUGCGGAAAAGCCCAUCAACCUGAACGAACGAUCGCAGAACGAACUUGAGGCUAGCUGACUGUCUGCCGUUAUGUUUUAAAAUAUAUGAUCAAAUGUUUACGGAGUUUAAUUUUCAUCCGUGACUGUACUGUGUCAUGUAAUCACG